GCCUGAUAAGUAGCUCAGUCGGUAGAGCACGAGACUCUUAAUUUCAGGGCCGUGGGAUCAAGUCUCACAUUGGGCA